rnacentral:tRNA from 1 species
GCCGGUGUAGCACAGUGGUAGUGCAGUCGCUUCGUAAGCGAAAGGUCGAUGGUUCAAAUCCGUCCACCGGCACCA